rnacentral:lncRNA from 1 species
AUGUAUUUGGGGUCAGUUUUGGGGUGCCUGAUGGCAUUUUUGGGGUGUUUUGGUGUAUUUGGAGUCAAUUUUGGGGUGUUUCGAUGUAUUUGGGGUCAGUUUUGGGGUGACUCACAGCAUUUUUGGGGUAUUUUUGGGAUGUUUUGGGGUGUUUCGAUGUAUUUGGGGUCAGUUUUGGGAGGUUUUUGGGGUGUUUUGGGGUGUUUCAGUGCAUUUGGGGUCAGUUUUGGGGUGACUCACAGCGUUUUUGGGGUAUUUUUGGGAUGUUUUGGGGUGUUUCGAUGUAUUUGGGGUGUUUUUGGGGUGUUUUUGGGGUGUUUUGGGGUGUUUCAGUGUAUUUGGGGUCAGUUUUGGGGUGUUUUGGGGUGUUUCAGUGUAUUUGGGGUGAGUUUUGGGGUGACUCACAGCAUUUUUGGGGCGCAGGAUUCGGGGUUCCCCCCGGCCGGGCCGGUGCAGGACCCGCGACCCCGAAGGAUUUGGGCCAAACACCGAGACCUGUCCCUGCCUGUCCCCAAAUUCAAGCUGGACGAGUUCUACGUGGGCCAGGUGCCCCUGAAGGAAGAGCGGGGAUGGGAUUGGGAUUUGGGAUCCGGGUUUGGGAUUUGGGAUUUGGGAUUUGGGAUUUGGGAUUUGGGAUUUGGGAUCCAGGUUUGGGAUUUGGGAUUUGAGAUUUGGGAUUUGGGAUUUGGGAUUUGGGAUCCAGGAUUGGGAUUUGGGAUUUGGGAUUUGGGAUUUGAGAUCCAGGUUUGGAUCCCGGAUUGGGAUUUGGGAUUUGGGAUUUGGGAUUUGAGAUCCAGGUUUGGGAUUUGGGAUUUGGGAUCCAGAUUUGGGAUUUGGGAUUUGGGGUUUGAGAUCCAGGUUUGGAUCCAGGAUUGGGAUUUGGGAUUUG